UGUAAACGUACCGUGGCCGACAUUGUGUUUAUACUAGAUUCCUCCGGAAGUUUGGGAAUUAACAAUUUUGCGAGUGUAAAACAGUUUGUGAUCAACAUGGUCAACUAUUUCGAUAUAGGUGUCUACUAUACUAAGGUCGGCGUGAUCACUUACAGCAACUACCCUGUAAGACGACUCAUACUAGACAGUUACUCCAACAAACUAGACUUUAUAAAUGCCAUAAAUCGAAUCCCAUACUAUCCUGGAAACACUGAGACAGAUAAGGCGCUUGACCUCUUACGCUUGGAGGGUUUUGAAGGUGGAAGAAAAGAUGCGCCUAAGAUCGCCAUCGUCGUGACCGAGGUUUAUCAAUCCGGACCUAACAAGAAUUGCUGCAUCUAGACUCAAGAAAUCUGGGUCAACCGUUUUCUCUGUUGGAAUAGGACAAGAUAUUAUUGACAGGAAUGAGUUAAACUACAUUUCUAGCGACCCAGACAACGAGUAUGUGUUCUUUGUGGCCAACUUCUCAGACCUGUCCAGUA
rnacentral:lncRNA from 1 species